rnacentral:rRNA from 1 species
GCGAAAUUCCUUGUCGGGUAAGUUCCGACCCGCACGAAAGGUGUAACGAUUUGGGCACUGUCUCAACGAGGGACCCGGUGAAAUUGAAGUACCUGUGAAGAUGCAGGUUACCCGCGACUGGACAGAAAGACCCCAUGGAGCUUUACUGUAACCUGACAUUGGGUUCUGAUACAUCACGUACAGGAUAGGUGGGAGGCAUGGAAGCGAGGACGCUAGUCUUCGUGGAGCCGCCGUUGGGAUACCACCCUUGAUGUAUCGGAAUUCUAACCGUAGGAGUAACGAAACUCGGGACAGUGUCAGGCGGGCAGUUUGACUGGGGCGGUCGCCUCCCAAAGAGUAACGGAGGCGCCCAAAGGUUCCCUCAGCGCGGCCGGAAAUCGCGCGAAGAGUGUAAAGGCAGAAGGGAGCUUGACUGAGAGCCAAACACGGCGAUCAGGUACGAAAGUAGGGCUUAGUGAUCCGGUGGCAUCCAAGUGGAAGGGCCAUCGCUCAACGGAUAAAAGCUACCCUGGGGAUAACAGGCUAAUCUCUCCCAAGAGUCCAUAUCGACGGGGAGGUUUGGCACCUCGAUGUCGGCUCAUCACAUCCUGGGGCUGAAGUCGGUCCCAAGGGUUGGGCUGUUCGCCCAUUAAAGUGGUACGUGAGCUGGGUUCAGAACGUCGUGAGACAGUUCGGUCCCUAUCCAUCGCGGGCGCAAGAGAUUUGAAGGGGGCUGCUCCUAGUACGAGAGGACCGGAGUGGACGAACCAAUGGUGUACCAAUUAUCUCGCCAGAGGUAUAGUUGGGUAGCUACGUUCGGAAAGGAUAAACGCUGAAAGCAUCUAAGCGUGAAACCAGCCUUAAGAUGAGAUCUCUCAUAGAGUAAUCUAGUAAGACACCUUGGAGAAGACGAGGUUGAUAGGUCGGGAGUGUAAGUACAGUAAUGUAUUCAGCGGACCGAUACUAAUAUGUCGAGGGCUUGACUUG